GAGGCUCGAUGACUCCCUCGUUCAGAUGUUUGCUUGCCUAUAGCAUCGAGAAGAAUGGAACUGAUUGGUUCAAUGUCGCGCCCUUUCACCAUGGUGUUCGAGCUAAUUGAUGUGUUCACAGCGUUGUUGAUAGAGUACAGAUGACUUGUCAUUUUUCCCACACUAAAUCUACCAAUAUUUACCGAAAAUGCGGAAGACGGACUUUCAUUUGAGUACGUUUUGUAAGCUAUGUGUAACCUGGAAUUUUAAACAUUGGAGCAUUGUUCGGCGUUGGAACGCGUAAAGCCUUCAGAUAUGUUUAUUUAUUGUCUAUUGUGGUCUUUUACCUUUGCAAGAUCUCAUCCCGUUUUUAUGUUAAUAGGAUUUACAUGUUGAAGUCGGCCAUUGUUAUUCUGUUGACCCAUAAAGCCUCUUGAUUCAAUGAGUCGCCCGAUGUU